UACAGAGGGGGCAAGCGUUAUUCGGAAUUAUUGGGCGUAAAGGGCGCGUAGGCGGCCUUGCAAGUGACGGGUGAAAUCCCUCGGCUUAACCGAGGAACUGCCUGUCAGACUGUAGGGCUUGAGACCGGGAGAGGUGAGUGGAAUUCCCAGUGUAGCGGUGAAAUGCGUAGAUAUUGGGAGGAACACCAGUGGCGAAGGCGGCUCACUGGACCGGUACUGACGCUGAUGCGCGAAAGCGUGGGGAGCAAACAGG
rnacentral:rRNA from 1 species